GACGAACGCUGGCGGCGUGCCUAAUACAUGCAAGUUGAGCGCUGAAGGUUGGUACUUGUACCGACUGGAUGAGCAGCGAACGGGUGAGUAACGCGUGGGGAAUCUGCCUUUGAGCGGGGGACAACAUUUGGAAACGAAUGCUAAUACCGCAUAACAACUUUAAACACAAGUUUUAAGUUUGAAAGAUGCAAUUGCAUCACUCAAAGAUGAUCCCGCGUUGUAUUAGCUAGUUGGUGAGGUAAAGGCUCACCAAGGCGAUGAUACAUAGCCGACCUGAGAGGGUGAUCGACCACAUUGGGACUGAGACACGGCCCAAACUCCUACGGGAGGCAGCAGUAGGGAAUCUUCGGCAAUGGACGAAAGUCUGACCGAGCAACGCCGCGUGAGUGAAGAAGGUUUUCGGAUCGUAAAACUCUGUUGGUAGAGAAGAACGUUGGUGAGAGUGGAAAGCUCAUCAAGUGACGGUAUCUGGCCAGAAAGCCACGGCUAACUACGUGCCAGCCGCCGCGGUAA
rnacentral:rRNA from 1 species